UACGGAGGGUGCAAGCGUUAUCCGGAUUCACUGGGUUUAAAGGGUGCGUAGGCGGCCUGAUAAGUCAGUGGUGAAAGCUUCCAGCUUAACUGGGAAACUGCCAUUGAAACUGUCAGGCUUGAGUACAAUUGAAGUGGGCGGAAUACAUCAUGUAGCGGUGAAAUGCUUAGAUAUGAUGUAGAACACCGAUUGCGAAGGCAGCUCACUAAAUUGCAACUGACGCUGAGGCACGAAAGCGUGGGUAGCGAACAGG
rnacentral:rRNA from 2 species